rnacentral:siRNA from 1 species
UUGAAAUAGUGCCUCUACGUG